rnacentral:rRNA from 1 species
UCACGGAAGUAGGUAGGCUAACCGCAAGGGGGCCGCUUACCACGGUGCGUUUCGUGACUGGGGUG